GCGUGUGCCACCAUUGCCUGUCUCACCACCUAAUUCUUGAGAGAGAAUACUCACUCUUGCAUUGGUAAGAUUGGGCCAAGUUCUGCCCACUUCUCGAUGCCUAAGCUCUCACUUGUCCUGGCCGUGUGUGUGUGUGUGUGUGUGUGUGUUCGUUCUUGGUUUGGUCACUCCAGAUGCCCUUUGGAGAGUUCCAGCUUCAUACUUCCCAGCCAGUCUGAUAAUAGACCUGACUGUUUCUUUUCCCAUGGUAUAUCUAUUUCCUGGCCACCUGCAGCCAGGUCAGCCUCGCUCUCCCCUGCUUAAUCAUUUUGGACUGCUGGAAUCCAGGAGACAGCACCUUCCUGUAGCUACUGAUGACCCUAUCCUGGAGCAAGUAGCACGGAACACUAUGUGCAAGUUGGUAGCUCUCCAGGCUGCUCCUCUAUAGCCUUUGCACCCCCCACACCCAUUCCGGGUUUCUCUGUGUAGCCUUGGUUGUCCAGGACUCACUCUGUAGCCUCCUGAGUGUUGGGAGUAAAGGUGUGCCCGCCACCACGCCCAGUGCAUUUUGCACAUCUUAGCUGGACUUUCCCUCCUAUCUUUCUCUUAUAUAAACAUUUCCUGCUCUCCUGUGUCCCAACUCCUUUUCUCUGACUCACACAGAGGCAGCUUCCAGCCUUCCACAGUUCUUCCAAUUCGACACAGUUAUUUAUUUAUUUUUUUAAGGUCCAAACUCCUGUGCAGAGCAAGCAUCCAAAUGCUGUCAUCCUCUCAGCCCCAUGCUCUAGCUCAUUUUUCACACCACUGGAUUUAAUUUACUAUUAUCGUGCCUGGAAUGUGUUUGCAUCUGUAUUCUUGAGAGAUUGCUAUACAGCUCAUUUGAGGCCUCACAAGAUUAAAACUUGGUAAGAAAGUAGACACGGAAGUGUGUCUCUGUCCAGUUCCACCUAAACUGUGCUGGCAGAAACUUUGGCUCCUGCUGCUUAGCUCCUUCAGCGACCUGCGAGUCUGUCUCACGAAAAGAUACCGACCGCCAUCUUGAAUUUCUAAGCACUAAACACGAAGAGAUGUGAGUUUCUCAAAAGAUGCUUCAGACCCUCUGAGCCCCUUUGUCUGCGUGGAACGGGUCUCUAGUCGCGGGUGGACAAAGCGUAGGAUGAGUGACAAACAGACGCACACAGGAGAGGUCGAGGAAUCUGAAUGUCAUUUUUCAAAUCGAGCAUCAGACUUUUUAUGCAGAAGACAAUAAGGAAGUUGGAUGACAUACCUGCAAGGUACAAAUGAGCUUUCCCAGAUAUCUCUGAAGAUACCAUUUUGAAUAGGACUCACAUCACUCACUGCCUUGGUAGGGUCAUCUUUGUUCCACAAGAGGAAAACUGUCCACGAGAGUUCUAGGAUGGAUUUACCAGCUCUUCUUCUCUCCUGAAGACUGUUGUCCUGCCUAUGCCCAGACCCAUCUACAUCAGAUCUGAGGAGUGAGUCUUCUAAACUAUGAAGGACAUAUUAUAAUAUUCAAUAAACAAUCUGUGGCCUCCAUAUGCACAGAAUGUGAUGCUGGGCAAACAGAGAGCUCUGAGCAAAAGUUCUAAGAAAGAAAGUCUUCUAAUGGAAGCAUCUGCAAGCCUGAUGAACUAAUUUGAACCUCAGUGACCAUGAAGAGUUUGGAAUGUUACAGGUCCAGGGUCUAUUUACAAUUCAUCUUGGGUUAUCUUUAGCUCUCUAAGUAGCCAUUCUUUCCUUAUAUUUGUGUGAACCUAACAUUCUGUGCCUAACAGAUUAAGAAGUCUUUUGGAAUGUAGUAAAUCUGUGGCUUCCACUAAUUGAAAGACUGAGUGUCAUCAGGUAGUACCUGAGCCCUACAGUCAAUACUUCUCUGCAUGUUUUCACUAAUGUACCUGAAAACUGCUUUGAUCUUUUUAGUUUCUUUGUUCUGUUACUAUAAACUAAUUCCACAUUGGAACAUGGAAUUUGACACUACACCCGUGUUCCCAGGCUAUGGUCGCUCUUAUUUGGCUCUGGAAUAAAUUGAAAUGAGAUGUGUGCUUCUGCCUCAACA